rnacentral:rRNA from 1 species
GCUCAGCCAUAAACUUUGACAAGUACGUACAAAGCUUGUCCGCCAGGGUACUACGAGCGCCAGCUUAAAACCCAAAGGACUUGGCGGUGCCUCACACCCACCUAGAGGAGCCUGUUCUAGAACCGAUAAUCCACGUUAAACCUCACCGCUUCUUGCCACUACCGUCUAUAUACCACCGUCGCCAGCUUACCCCGUGAGGGUGAAAAAGUAAGCACAAUUGGUACAACCAAAAACGUCAGGUCGAGGUGUAGCGAAUGAAGCGGAAAGAAAUGGGCUACAUUUUCUAUAAAAGAAUAUACGAAAGACCUAAUGAAACAAAGUCAGAAGGUGGAUUUAGCAGUAAGAAAAACCAAGAAUAUUUUUCUGAAAUUGGCCAUGAGGCGCGC